rnacentral:rRNA from 1 species
AUUGAACGCUGGCGGCAGGCCUAACACAUGCAAGUCGAGCGGAUGAAGGGAGCUUGCUCCUGGAUUCAGCGGCGGACGGGUGAGUAAUGCCUAGGAAUCUGCCUGGUAGUGGGGGAUAACGUCCGGAAACGGGCGCUAAUACCGCAUACGUCCUGAGGGAGAAAGUGGGGGAUCUUCGGACCUCACGCUAUCAGAUGAGCCUAGGUCGGAUUAGCUAGUUGGUGGGGUAAAGGCCUACCAAGGCGACGAUCCGUAACUGAUCUGAGAGGAUGAUCGGUCACACUGGAACUGAGACACGGUCCAGACUCCUACGGGAGGCAGCAGUGGGGAAUAUUGGACAAUGGGCGAAAGCCUGAUCCAGCCAUGCCGCGUGUGUGAAGAAGGUCUUCGGAUUGUAAAGCACUUUAAGUUGGGAGGAAGGGCAGUAAGUUAAUACCUUGCUGUUUUGACGGUACCAACAGAAUAAGCACCGGCUAACUUCGUG